rnacentral:rRNA from 1 species
ACGGGAGGCAGCAGUGAGGAAUAUUGGUCAAUGGGCGGAAGCCUGAACCAGCCAAGUCGCGUGAAGGAUGAAGGUUCUAUGGAUUGUAAACUUCUUUUGCCCGAGGGUAAAGUGUGGGACGUGUCCCAUAUUGCAAGUAUCGGGUGAAUAAGCAUCGGCUAACUCCGUGCCAGCAGCCGCGGUAAUACGGAGGAUGCGAGCGUUAUCCGGAUUUAUUGGGUUUAAAGGGUGCGUAGGCGGGAUGUUAAGUCAGCGGUUAAAUAGUGUAGCUCAACUAUACUUUGCCGUUGAAACUGGCGUUCUUGAGUGUAAACGAGGUAGGCGGAAUGUGACGUGUAGCGGUGAAAUGCUUAGAUAUGUCACAGAACCCCGAUUGCGAAGGCAGCUUACCAGGAUACAACUGACGCUGAGGCACGAAAGCGUGGGUAUCAAACAGGAUUAGAUACCCUGGUA